rnacentral:rRNA from 1 species
AUGUGGGAAGGCCCAGACAGCCAGGAUGUUGGCUUAGAAGCAGCCAUCAUUUAAAGAAAGCGUAAUAGCUCACUGGUCGAGUCGGCCUGCGCGGAAGAUGUAACGGGGCUAAACCAUGCACCGAAGCUGCGGCAGCGACACUCAGGUGUUGUUGGGUAGGGGAGCGUUCUGUAAGCCUGCGAAGGUGGCCUGUGAGGGUUGCUGGAGGUAUCAGAAGUGCGAAUGCUGACAUAAGUAACGAUAAAGCGGGUGAAAAGCCCGCUCGCCGGAAGACCAAGGGUUCCUGUCCAACGUUAAUCGGGGCAGGGUGAGUCGACCCCUAAGGCGAGGCCGAAAGGCGUAGUCGAUGGGAAACGGGUUAAUAUUCCCGUACUUGGUGUUACUGCGAAGGGGGGACGGAGAAGGCUAUGUUGGCCGGGCGACGGUUGUCCCGGUUUAAGCGUGUAGGUGUGUGUUCCAGGUAAAUCCGGUUCACUUUAACACUGAGGCGUGAUGACGAGGCACUACGGUGCUGAAGCAACAAAUGCCCUGCUUCCAGGAAAAGCCUCUAAGCAUCAGGUAACAUCAAAUCGUACCCCAAACCGACACAGGUGGUCAGGUAGAGAAUACCAAGGCGCUUGAGAGAACUCGGGUGAAGGAACUAGGCAAAAUGGUGCCGUAACUUCGGGAGAAGGCACGCUGACACGUAGGUGAAGUGAUUUACUCAUGGAGCUGAAGUCAGUCGAAGAUACCAGCUGGCUGCAACUGUUUAUUAAAAACACAGCACUGUGCAAACACGAAAGUGGACGUAUACGGUGUGACGCCUGCCCGGUGCCGGAAGGUUAAUUGAUGGGGUCAGCGCAAGCGAAGCUCCUGAUCGAAGCCCCGGUAAACGGCGGCCGUAACUAUAACGGUCCUAAGGUAGCGAAAUUCCUUGUCGGGUAAGUUCCGACCUGCACGAAUGGCGUAAUGAUGGCCAGGCUGUCUCCACCCGAGACUCAGUGAAAUUGAACUCGCUGUGAAGAUGCAGUGUACCCGCGGCAAGACGGAAAGACCCCGUGAACCUUUACUAUAGCUUGACACUGAACAUUGAGCCUUGAUGUGUAGGAUAGGUGGGAGGCUUUGAAGUGUGGACGCCAGUCUGCAUGGAGCCGGCCUUGAAAUACCACCCUUUAAUGUUUGAUGUUCUAACGUGGACCCGUGAUCCGGGUUGCGGACAGUGUCUGGUGGGUAGUUUGACUGGGGCGGUCUCCUCCUAAAGAGUAACGGAGGAGCACGAAGGUUGGCUAAUCCUGGUCGGACAUCAGGAGGUUAGUGCAAUGGCAUAAGCCAGCUUGACUGCGAGCGUGACGGCGCGAGCAGGUGCGAAAGCAGGUCAUAGUGAUCCGGUGGUUCUGAAUGGAAGGGCCAUCGCUCAACGGAUAAAAGGUACUCCGGGGAUAACAGGCUGAUACCGCCCAAGAGUUCAUAUCGACGGCGGUGUUUGGCACCUCGAUGUCGGCUCAUCACAUCCUGGGGCUGAAGUAGGUCCCAAGGGUAUGGCUGUUCGCCAUUUAAAGUGGUACGCGAGCUGGGUUUAGAACGUCGUGAGACAGUUCGGUCCCUAUCUGCCGUGGGCGCUGGAGAACUGAGGGGGGCUGCUCCUAGUACGAGAGGACCGGAGUGGACGCAUCACUGGUGUUCGGGUUGUCAUGCCAAUGGCACUGCCCGGUAGCUAAAUGCGGAAGAGAUAAGUGCUGAAAGCAUCUAAGCACGAAACUUGCCCCGAGAUGAGUUCUCCCUGAGACUUUAGGUCUCCUGAAGGAACGUUGAAGACGACGACGUUGAUAGGCCGGGUGUGUAAGCGCAGCGAUGCGUUGAGCUAACCGGUACUAAUGAACCGUGAGGCUUAACCUU